rnacentral:rRNA from 1 species
UUUCGGCGCGCCUAACACAUGCAAGUCGAACGGAGCUGUUUUCUCUGAAGUUUUCGGAUGGAAGAGAGUUCAGCUUAGUGGCGAAUGGGUGAGUAACACGUGAGCAACCUGCCUUUCAGUGGGGGACAACAUUUGGAAACGAAUGCUAAUACCGCAUAAGACCACAGUGUCGCAUGGCACAGGGGUCAAAGGAUUUAUCCGCUGAAAGAUGGGCUCGCGUCCGAUUAGCUAGAUGGUGAGGUAACGGCCCACCAUGGCGACGAUCGGUAGCCGGACUGAGAGGUUGAACGGCCACAUUGGGACUGAGACACGGCCCAGACUCCUACGGGAGGCAGCAGUGGGGAAUAUUGCACAAUGGGGGAAACCCUGAUGCAGCGACGCCGCGUGGAGGAAGAAGGUCUUCGGAUUGUAAGCUGUUGUCGCAAGGGAGGAAGACAGUGACGGUACCUUGUGAGAAAGUCACGGCUAACUACGUGCCAGCAGCCGCGGUAAUACGUAGGUGACAAGCGUUGUCCGGAUUUACUGGGUGUAAAGGGCGCGUAGGCGGACUGUCAAGUCAGUCGUGAAAUACCGGGGCUUAACCCCGGGGCUGCGAUUGAAACUGACAGCCUUGAGUAUCGGAGAGGAAAGCGGAAUUCCUAGUGUAGCGGUGAAAUGCGUAGAUAUUAGGAGGAACACCAGUGGCGAAGGCGGCUUUCUGGACUGUUACUGACACUGAGGCACGAAAGUGUGGGGAGCAAACAGGAUUAGAUACCCUGGUAGUCCACACCGUAAACGAUGAGCACUAGGUGUCGGGGUCGCAAGACUUCGGUGCCGCAGUUAACGCAUUAAGUGUUCCGCCUGGGGAGUACGUACGCAAGUAUGAAACUCAAAGGAAUUGACGGGGACCCGCACAAGCAGCGGAGCAUGUGGUUUAAUUCGAAGCAACGCGAAGAACCUUACCAGGACUUGACAUCCCUCUGAAACCCCUGAUAACGAAGGGGCCUCUACGGACAGAGGAGACAGGUGGUGCAUGGUUGUCGUCAGCUCGUGUCGUGAGAUGUUGGGUUAAGUCCCGCAACGAGCGCAACCCUUGCUGUUAGUUGCCAUCAUUGAGUUGGGCACUCUAACGGGACUGCCGGGGAUAACUCGGAGGAAGGUGGGGAUGACGUCAAAUCAUCAUGCCCCUUAUGUUCUGGGCUACACACGUGCUACAAUGGUCGGUACAAAGAGCAGCAAGACCGCGAGGUGGAGCAAAUCUCAAAAACCGAUCCCAGUUCGGAUUGCAGGCUGCAACUCGCCUGCAUGAAGUUGGAGUUGCUAGCAAUCGCGAAUCAGAAUGUCGCGGUGAAUGCGUUCCCGGGUCUUGUACACACCGCCCGUCACACCACGGAAGUUGGGGGUGCCCAAAGUUGGUCAAAAAAUAGAUUACCUAAGGCAAAACCAAUGACUGG